AAGGCUGAGCCUCGAAAUCCCGGAAAGAUUUUUUUUUUCCCUCUUACUUGUUAAGGUGUUGAAAAUAAUGACGGGGAAUUUGCUCGAGAAGAAACCAUGUCUACACUCGCCGCUGGGUAAAACACAAAAUAAAAUAAAAUAAAAUAAAAACAACGCAAGGUGCAUAUACACAGGCACCGCAGUCAUAAUGGACUCAGUUGUCGUGGGAGCCUUCCAUCGGCGGGAGAGGAAAGCAACAAGGAACAACCCGCGACCAGAACUUCAUGACAGAGCUGCCGUACUGUGGCAUUUGAGGCGAAAAAAACGCACAGGAAGGAAGCACCCAGUCCACUCGGAGUUGCUAAACACCUCCUCCAUAGCUCCAUAAAUCACGAUUGAGACCUCUAUGCCUGGAAAGAAUAAGUGGUCUCCCUAGCGAUUUAGUUGUCAUAUGUCUCCAGAACAUCUGAGAGGAAAAUGAGACGUCUGAAUUAAAAACUCUGGGUGCGAAAAACCAUGCCUAAAUAGAUGAUCACCGCUGUGAGCGUCCUGCCGGCUAGUUUAAUCACCAGAAUAUAAGGGUUAUCGCCGAUGUUUAGUGGUUAGAAGCACGCACUCCUUCACAAGUUACCUUGACACAGUCUCCAACCACGCAGAGCGAAGGGAAAACAUGAAGAAAUUGGCACAUCUGCAACAAGAAAAGGAAGAGCUCCAGGCCACUAUGCAACAGUACCUGGUGGAACGGACUCGCUUGUAUAACCUGUUACAGGAUCAGCAACGCAAAAUUGACGAACUGGAGCAGAGCCUUUUGGACGUUCACCAGCAACUGAGAGACAAGGAGGAGUACAUUCGAGAGAGUGAUGAGAUGUCACUUGUGAAGAGGGUUGAUGGUCAUUGCCGAGGGCCUUGGAGAACGAUGAGUAACACCAGAUUGACUAAAAUCACCACUACGUUUGAAAUUUUCAUGUUGUGUAUCCAGAUGAAUGUACCAUGUGAAAAAUUAAAACUAAAUAGAAUGUAA